rnacentral:rRNA from 1 species
UACGGGGGGGGCAAGCGUUGUUCGGAAUUACUGGGCGUAAAGGGCUCGUAGGCGGCCAACUAAGUCAGACGUGAAAUCCCUCGGCUUAACCGGGGAACUGCGUCUGAUACUGGAUGGCUUGAGGUUGGGAGAGGGAUGCGGGAAUUCCAGGUGUAGCGGUGAAAUGACGUAGAUAUCUGGAGGAACACCGGUGGCGAAGGCGGCAUCCUGGACCAAUUCUGACGCUGAGGAGCGAAAGCCAGGGGAGCAAACGGGG